rnacentral:lncRNA from 1 species
GGCACGGUAUCCUCUAAUCCCUUUCACCAUCCUCCAAACCAAAAGAAAUUCCGCAAAACCCUAACCUGUCAGGGACACUCUGCUCUCGCCGUGCUCCGCAACGUCCAAGCAAGCGCCGGCGCGCGGCCCCGGCGGCGCGACCACCCGUACCACCCGAUCUCUCACCAUGGAGAAGGUAAUCCCGGUCUCAUCCGCUCCCAUUGAUGGAUCUCUCUGCUCGCGCGCCUCUGAUUCGAGUUUUGCUGGCCUCGUGCAGCCCGUGGCGCAGGCACCGGAGAAGGCGGCGUCAGAGGAGAAGGUUUGUGCGGAAGUCGCCGCGACGGCUGUCCAAUUUUGCGUUCUGUUUAUUAUCAGCGGCUCAUCCGAUUUCUGUCUUCUCUCGUUUGGUGGUGAUGCGAGCAGCUGCUUGACGACAAGGAGCUAGAGCUAGAGCGGGAGCGGAAACUGAAGAAAGAGCAGAAGGUAUGCUUGCCCGAGAUCCGUGUGAACUUGCUCUCGUGAGUUUGGUCCUUGUGCUGUUGUUCGCUUUGCCAAUUAUAUCGUUAAUUGGCAGUUCGCCCGAAUUGGUUAUUGAAAUGUGUUGAUCUGUGAAUUUUACCAAUGUUAGAAACCAGUUCAGUGCUAAGUUAAAAUUAUUUCUUAUUUUCU